UACGUAGGGGGCUAGCGUUAUCCGGAAUUACUGGGCGUAAAGGGUGCGUAGGUGGUUUCUUAAGUCAGAGGUGAAAGGCUACGGCUCAACCGUAGUAAGCCUUUGAAACUGGGAAACUUGAGUGCAGGAGAGGAGAGUGGAACUCCUAGUGUAGCGGUGAAAUGCGUAGAUAUUAGGAGGAACACCAGUUGCGAAGGCGGCUCUCUGGACUGUAACUGACACUGAGGCACGAAAGCGUGGGGAGCAAACAGG
rnacentral:rRNA from 1 species